rnacentral:rRNA from 1 species
AGAGUUUGAUCCUGGCUCAGGACGAACGCUGGCGGCGUGCUUAACACAUGCAAGUCGAACGCUGAACCCACUUCGGUGGGGGAUGAGUGGCGAACGGGUGAGUAACACGUGGGUAAUCUGCCCUGCACUCUGGGAUAAGCCUUGGAAACGAGGUCUAAUACCGGAUAUCACCUUUCUAGGCAUCUAGAUUGGUUGAAAGUUCUGGCGGUGCAGGAUGAACCCGCGGCCUAUCAGCUUGUUGGUGGGGUAGUGGCCUACCAAGGCGACGACGGGUAGCCGGCCUGAGAGGGUGACCGGCCACACUGGGACUGAGACACGGCCCAGACUCCUACGGGAGGCAGCAGUGGGGAAUAUUGCACAAUGGGCGCAAGCCUGAUGCAGCGACGCCGCGUGAGGGAUGACGGCCUUCGGGUUGUAAACCUCUUUCGCCAGGGACGAAGCGCAAGUGACGGUACCUGGAUAAGAAGCACCGGCUAACUACGUGCCAGCCGCCGCGGUAAUUC